AAUUACCCAAUCCUGACACAGGGAGGUAGUGACAAGAAAUAACAAUACAGGGCUUAAAGUCUUGUAAUUGGAAUGAUGGGAAUCUAAACCCUUCCCAGAGUAUCAAUUGGAGGGCAAGUCUGGUGCCAGCAGCCGCGGUAAUUCCAGCUCCAAUAGUGUAUAUUAAAGUUGUUGCAGUUAAGAAGCUCGUAGUUGAAUUUCUGCCUUGUCAUUAAUCUCGCUUCCGAGCGUUUUUUUAUUGACUUGGCAUCUUCUGGAUUUGGUGCCUUCGGGUACUAUUUUCCAGGAUUUACUUUGAGAAAACUAGAGUGUUUCAAACAGGCAUUCGCCUUGAAUACUACAGCAUGGAAUAAUGAAGUAGGACUUUGGUUCUAUUUUGUUGGUUAUUGAGCCAGAGUAAUGGUUAAUAGGAGCAGUUGGGGGCAUUCGUAUUUAA
rnacentral:rRNA from 1 species